rnacentral:rRNA from 1 species
GGUUAAGUGACAAAGCGUAUACGGUGGAUGCCUUGGCAGUUAGAGGCGAUGAAGGACGUGUAAGUCUGCGAAAAGCUGUGGUGAGCUGACAAAAUGCAUUUGAGCCACAGAUGUCCGAAUGGGGAAACCCACCUGUUUACAGGUAUCUUAUAGUGAAUACAUAGCUAUAAGAGGCGAACGAGGGGAACUGAAACAUCUAAGUACCCUUAGGAAAAGAAAUCAACCGAGAUUCCCCUAGUAGCGGCGAGCGAACGGGGAUUAGCCCUUAAGCAUUUUAUAAGUUAGUGGAAGCCUCUGGGAAGUGGCGCGAUACCGGGUGAUAGCCCCGUACACGACAACGAAUUAAAUGUGAAAUCGAGUAGGUCGGGACACGUGUUAUCUUGACUGAAUAUGGGGGACCAUCCUCCAAGGCUAAAUACUCCUAACUGACCGAUAGUGAACCAGUACCGUGAGGGAAAGGCGAAAAGAACCCCUGUGAGGGGAGUGAAAUAGAACCUGAAACCGUAUACGUACAAGCAGUGGGAGCCCCAUCACUAAGUGCCUUUAGUGAUGUGACUCACAAAGUGCUAACCCUUGAUAUGACGAUUAACGUUGACCUGCGAAGCAGCCAACGGUAAACCGCCACCAAUCAAGCAGGGUGCUUAGUGAUGGGGUGACUGCGUACCUUUUGUAUAAUGGGUCAGCGACUUAUAUUUGGUAGCAAGGUUAAGCGAAUAGCGGAGCCGUAGCGAAAGCGAGUGUUAACUGCGCGUUGAGUUGCCAGGUAUAGACCCGAAACCCGGUGAUCUAGCCAUGAGCAGGUUGAAGGUUGAGUAACAUCAACUGGAGGACCGAACCCACUGACGUUGAAAAGUCAGGGGAUGACUUGUGGCUGGGGGUGAAAGGCCAAUCAAACCGGGAGAUAGCUGGUUCUCCCCGAAAUCUAUUUAGGUAGAGCCUCGGACGAAUUCCAUUGGGGGUAGAGCACUGUUAAGGCUAGGGGGUCAUCCCGACUUACCAACCCUUUGCAAACUCCGAAUACCGAUGAGAACUAUCCGGGAGACACACGGCGGGUGCUAACGUCCGUCGUGGAGAGGGAAACAACCCAGACCGCCAGCUAAGGUCCCUAAAUAUUGCUAAGUGGGAAACGAUGUGGGAAGGCACAGACAGCUAGGAGGUUGGCUUAGAAGCAGCCAUCCUUUAAAGAAAGCGUAAUAGCUCACUAGUCGAGUCGGCCUGCGCGGAAGAUGUAACGGGGCUAAGCAAUAUACCGAAGCUGCGGCAGAGGACAUCACUCAAUGCUAUUUAAGCUAACAGCGACCUGGCAAAGCCAGCCGCUGGUAAAGCGUUCAUCACAAGGUGGUGAAGAUAAAGAACGAAGAAGUAGCAUUCAGGAUGUCCUCUGGGUAGGGGAGCGUUGUGUAAGUGGAUGAAGGUGAACCGAGAGGUUUGCUGGACAUAUCACAAGUGCGAAUGCUGACAUGAGUAACGAUAAUGGGGGUGAAAAACCCCCACGCCGGAAGACCAAGGUUUCCUGUCCCAUGCUAAUCAGGGCAGGGUAAGUCGGCCCCUAAGGCGAGGCGGAAACGCGUAGUCGAUGGGAAACGGGUUAAUAUUCCCGUACUUGUAUAAUCAGUGAUGGAGGGACGGAGAAGGCUAAGCAAGCCUGGCGUUGGUAGCCCAGGUGAAAGUGAGUAGGCUGAAGAAUUAGGUAAAUCCGGUUCUUCAAGGCCGAGACACGAGACGAGCUCCCAAGGGAGUGAAGUUGUUGAUGCCAUGCUUCCAGGAAAAGCUUCUAAACGUAUGAUUAUGUGAACCGUACCCCAAACCGACACAGGUGGUCAGGUAGAGAAUACUAAGGCGCUUGAGAGAACUCGGGUGAAGGAACUCGGCAAAAUAGUACCGUAACUUCGGGAGAAGGUACGCCCUUGUUGGUGAUAGAACUUGCUUCUUGAGCUGAUGAGGGCCGCAGUGACCAGGUGGCUGGGACUGUUUAUUAAAAACACAGCACUCUGCAAACUCGAAAGAGGACGUAUAGGGUGUGACACCUGCCCGGUGCCGGAAGGUUAAUUGAUGGGGUUAGCGUAAGCGAAGCUCUUGAUCGAAGCCCCGGUAAACGGCGGCCGUAACUAUAACGGUCCUAAGGUAGCGAAAUUCCUUGUCGGGUAAGUUCCGACCUGCACGAAUGGUGUAACCAUGGCCACGCUGUCUCCACCCGAGACUCAGUGAAAUUGAAAUCGCAGUGAAGAUGCUGUGUACCCGCACCUAGACGGAAAGACCCGUGAACCUUUACUACAGCUUGGCACUGAACAUUGAACCUACUUGUGUAGGAUAGGUGGGAGGCUUUGAAUCGCAGACGCCAGUUUGCGUGGAGCCGACCUUGAAAUACCACCCUGGUAUGUUUGAUGUUCUAACAUAGGUCCCUUAUCGGGAUUGUGGACAGUGUCUGGUGGGUAGUUUGACUGGGGCGGUCUCCUCCCAAAUAGUAACGGAGGAGCACGAAGGUUAGCUAAUCACGGUCGGACAUCGUGAGGUUAGUGCAAUGGCAUAAGCUAGCUUAACUGCGAGACAGACACGUCGAGCAGGUACGAAAGUAGGUCAUAGUGAUCCGGUGGUUCUGUAUGGAAGGGCCAUCGCUCAACGGAUAAAAGGUACUCCGGGGAUAACAGGCUGAUACCGCCCAAGAGUUCAUAUCGACGGCGGUGUUUGGCACCUCGAUGUCGGCUCAUCACAUCCUGGGGCUGAAGUCGGUCCCAAGGGUAUGGCUGUUCGCCAUUUAAAGUGGUACGCGAGCUGGGUUUAGAACGUCGUGAGACAGUUCGGUCCCUAUCUGGUGUGGGCGUUGGAUGAUUGAGGGGAGCUGCUCCUAGUACGAGAGGACCGGAGUGGACGAACCGCUGGUGUUCGGGUUGUUAUGCCAAUAGCAUUGCCCGGUAGCUACGUUCGGAACGGAUAACCGCUGAAAGCAUCUAAGCGGGAAGCCGAACCCAAGAUGAGUCAUCCCUGACCUUUAAGGUCUGGAAGGGUUGUUGAAGACGACAACGUUGAUAGGCAGGGUGUGGAAGCGUUGUAAGGCGUUAAGCUAACCUGUACUAAUUGCCCGAAAGGCUUAACCAU